rnacentral:lncRNA from 1 species
AAUAAUUUCCAAAAAAUAAAUACUCUAGUAUGUUAAUGAAAAUGCUUUUUGUCCGUGAAUAAUUUGAUUUGUUUAAUAAAAUUAUUGGUGGGCCUUGACCUCUCUGACCCCUAAUGACGAACCGUCUCUGCUGUAACUCUCUAACUAGUCCUGAGAAUUAUAGCGUAUUUUCUAUUAUAAGUAAAAUAUUUAUUUUAAGUGAUCUUAGAAUCCUUCGAUAUGUCCCUCAUUUAGUCUCGCCGAAAUUAAGAAAAGUAUAUACAACAGACUCUCGAUUAACCAGAGUAUUCGGGAAAUUAAUUUACUCGGAUAAUCCGCACAAUAUUCAAAAAAUCGAAAAAUUACGAAUAAUAAAUUUUCAUGCAUGCAU